rnacentral:rRNA from 1 species
GGAAGGGGUGUAUUUAUUAGAUAAAAAACCAACGCCCUUCGGGGCUCCUUGGUGAAUCAUGAUAACUUAACGAAUCGCAUGGCCUUGCGCCGGCGAUGAUUCACUCAAAUUUCUGCCCUAUCAACUUUCGAUGGUAGGAUAGUGGCCUACCAUGGUGGUAACGGGUAACGGGGAAUUAGGGUUCGAUUCCGGAGAGGGAGCCUGAGAAACGGCUACCACAUCCAAGGAAGGCAGCAGGCGCGCAAAUUACCCAAUCCCGAUACGGGGAGGUAGUGACAAUAAAUACUGAUACAGGGCUCUUUUGGGUCGUGUAAUUGGAAUGAGUACAAUCUAAACCCCUUAACGAGGAACAAUUGGAGGGCAAGUCUGGUGCCAGCAGCC